rnacentral:rRNA from 1 species
AACGAACGCUGGCGGCAUGCCUAACACAUGCGAGUCGAACGAGACCUUCGGGUCUAGUGGCGCACGGGUGCGUAACGCGUGGGAACCUGCCCUUAGGUUCGGAAUAACUCCCCGAAAGGGGUGCUAAUACCGGAUAAUGUCUUCGGACCAAAGAUUUAUCGCCUUUGGAUGGGCCCGCGUUGGAUUAGCUAGUUGGUAGGGUAAAAGCCUACCAAGGCGACGAUCCAUAGCUGGUCUGAGAGGAUGAUCAGCCACACUGGGACUGAGACACGGCCCAGACUCAUACGGGAGGCAGCAGUGGGGAAUAUUGGACAAUGGGCGAAAGCCUGAUCCAGCAAUGCCGCGUGAGUGAUGAAGGCCUUAGGGUUGUAAAGCUCUUUUACCCGGGAUGAUAAUGACAGUACCGGGAGAAUAAGCUCCGGCUAACUCCGUG